CCCGUUUUUCCUGCUGCUCUGUUUGCUGCGCCUCCCUCAGGAGAGCCAGCCGCUCCUUCAGCUCCGCCAGGGACAUCUCUCCCAGCAGCUCAUGGCCUGCAGUCUGACAUGGGACAACAGAUUCAGCAUGACACAAGGAGUAAAGCCAACGUAAAGCUGAGCAGUCUUCUGGUUGCGUUCCAUUAUGCGUGUGCGGGCCAUAGCUGCCUCUUCAUAACUGAUGCGUCCCUCCAGACGCCUGCGCUCAAUCUUGGCCAGCUCCUCCUGAAGGUCCUUCUCACGCAUCUCCUUCUGCCACUGGAGGAAAGACGAGGGCUCACGUGCCCCCUCCACCAGACUCUCCAUUCUGUGUCACAAACACAGAGAUAUUACUUCUGCUGCAGUUGAGCUUUAUUUAUGUGUAGCCCAUCAGGGUUUAAAUAAUGUAUGCAAAAGUUUAAAAUGUAUAAAUGUGGUUAAAAUGUACAUGGAUGGCUAAAAUGUAUGAAAAUAUGAGAGUCAAUCUCUACAGUUCAAAAGUUAAAGUUAAACGGUUCAUGCCAAAGAGCAUACUUUGUUUGAUGUGUAAAUUAGCCAGCACGAGUAAUCGGCCUGACAUAGUUAGCAGCAUCAUGUGUCAUGUGUUUUAAUUUAUUUUAAUUGGAACGUCCUAAAACAGCCAACACAAUUCCAUUUUCAGGUAGAGGAGUGGGGCUUAGCUGCAGGGUGUCUGUGUGAAAUAUCUGCCUAUGACACCCUAGAAUUUAAAAGCCUCUAUGCUCUAGUUUUUUUAUGAAUACAUACUUUUGUUUUGAGGACUAGGGUAGAUAACUGGGCAAUAUUAGGGCAAUUAAAUCCAAGCAAUAGGUAUAGGUGGUUUUAUUCUGCACUUUCGCCCAAGGGAUGAGUCAAUAUAUUGAUAAAUUUAAGCACUUUUUGCUGUAUUAAAUAUUUUGUUAAACCAUCCAUUUCAUGAAGGGGUCAUCUCAAAAUUAUAAAUAAACAUGGUAGUGUUUUGUUCUAGCGGUAUCUGCCAAACAAAAACCCAUCUGAGGAUUUGUUUAGGCUACUAACUGUGCCCCCCUCCCA